GUACGUUAUCUUCCCUUCAUUUAUGGCUGGCACAACCAUUUCAAGAAACUUCCCGUAAAGAUGAUAGUAACUGGGAGCCACAAAACCUUCCAUACGGAGCUGUUUAGAGAUCACAGACGUUAAAUUAUGUACACCUUCUGGUUGCUCAAGGUUGUACUGUGAGAUCAUCCCACAAACUGCUAUUCGGCCAUGGAUCCUCAUGUUCAGUAGCACUGCAUCAAGCAUCUUUCCCCCAACAUUUUCAAAGUAUAUAUCGAUGCCUUCAGGAAAAUAUCUGUUAAGAAAAAUCAUACAUUUAGACCUUUCCUUCUUUAUUUUACACCAAUAUUAUGGAAUAUAGGAAGAGGAGCAACAGCCGCACAUACUGGAGGCCUCUCCUUAUUUAUUUUGCUUUGUUCAUUUUAUACCUUUCAAGGAGGGGUCGUACCACCAAGACAUGAGAAACUCAGUAUAUAUAGCUCCAACAGAUGAAAAUUAUAGACAAGGAAACCCCUCCUCGUUAUCGGACAUAGGCAAAGCUUCAAAUAAAAUCUCGAUUCUGAUGCAAUACAUUUAUAUAAGGCUCACCUUUUUAAAGCAGCAACCAAGUUAGGUUCUUCUUUAUAAUUGAAAGCCUCAUCAAAUCCAAACUUGUUCUUCAGCAAAUCAACCUUAAGUGACAGAAACAAUAUAUAUAUAUAUAUAUAUAUUACAAAAAGAAAAGGAAAGAAAAGUGUAAAAAGUUCCAGUGUAAUAGUGAACGCUGUAGAAUGACACUAUCAGAGUCAUUGACCAUCGGAUGAAUAUCAAUUGAGUGCAGCAUGUUGAAAAAUAAAACUAAACGAGUUUAACACACUUGAUGAGUGACUGGUCCCCAAUAUUUGUACUGAGGAACAAGAUUUUCUCUUCUAUUUUCCAAGUAUGUUAUUAUUUUUUAACUAACAUUUUCAGGUUGAGAAUUUGGCAAACAUCAAUAUACGUACAUGUUUCUAAAACAAAAUCAAUCUGAAUCACAGCUAUGAAUUGCCAACUAAUAUGCUAGUCCGCAUUGACCACUAAAUUGCAACGACUCACCUUUUCUUUGCUUCCAGCACUCCCAACAACAUAGCAACCCAACAACUUUGCAAAUUGCCCAACUAGUUGACCUACUGCUCCAGAUGCUGCUGAAACGUAGACUGUCUCUCCUUUCUUAGGAGAGCAAACCUCAUAAAAACCAGCAUAAGCAGUUAUUCCAGGCAUACCUAUAUAAAAAGAAUACAUUAGAUGAGCCUUGGGCAUCAAGCAGGACAUAUCUUGCAUUACAAAUUAAGCCUUGCAUAUACAUCUGAAAAGUACAUUUCACAAUGGUUUAAAUCUAUUAGGAUGGAUUAUUUUGUGAUCACGUUCAAGCAGAAAAUGGUGCUACAGAUCCAGGCAGGUAAAUUACUGCAUGACAAUCAUACAAAAUUUGAAAUUAUGUACCAAUGUCAUUCGAGGGAUUAGGCCCUCACGAGCUUUGGUGUACUUACACUCACAAUAAUCAAGUAUCAACCUAAUAUUAUAGAUUUCAGAAAGCUAGCUACUUGUAGCAGAAGCUAUUUUCAAAAAGAGAACUUUUAAAAUUGACAGUGGGGGGAAAUAGCAAUAGCAGCAUACCCAGAAUUCCAGUAUAAUAAGAGAGAGGGACAUCGGUGUUGUGAAUCUUAAACAGGGCCUCUGUUGCAGUGAUGACACUAUAUUCCUCCCACCCGGUAAUUCCCCAAACGAAGUCGCCUUGCUUAAACUUGGGAUCGCCAGAUUCCAGAACUUUAGCCACUCCAUAUCCAGUUAAAGGCUGCGAGAGAUUCAAUAUAUCAAUGUGUAAUCAUUAAAAGUAGAGAAAUCUUAAAUUGAAAAGGAUUAGCAUAAAGCAGAGAUAUUUAGAUACAAGAGGAAGAGGGUUUUGGUUUUAGAUCAUUAAAUCAUCCCGAACCGAGGUUGAAGAGACUGACCGAACCGGGGUUGAACGAGUUGACAUAACUGUCGCCGGGAUGGCGCUUGGUCAUACGGCCCCUCAUAUAUGGAUCGCAGGACAAGUAGAGGUUCUUCACCAAAACCGCACCACUCGAAGAACCUUCUGGAAGCUUCAGCUCUGUACUGCCAGUGGUCACUAGCAUGUCAGAUUCUUUGGGGAAGCCGGAGACUGUGUCUCUCAGGAUCACCUGCUUGUUCCUCAUGAUCACUUCCUCUGCUGCUCCUAUGAAACUUGCAAUUUGCAAUUUGCUUGAGCUUUUACCAAUAACUUCUGCUGCGGCUUCUCUCUCUCUAAGGAAUGUAUCCGAUUCAUAUUUAUAAAGAUUUUUUUUAAAUGAGUGAUUUUUAUAGAGAUUAUAAAUUUUUAAUUAGUUUCAUAGAAUUGAUAAAAGUGCUUUUAAUAAUUAGCCUUAAAAAUAUAAAAAAGUUAUUUAUUUAAUAAAUUUUUUAAAAGUCAUUAACUUUUUUGAAUAUCACCAAAUUUUUAAAUAUUUUUUAAAAAUUAUAAUUGAAUACCACUAGACUUUUAUAUACUUUUAAAAAAUCUAAAUUAAAUACCUUCAAAUUUUUAAACUCUAUAAAAAUCAUUAAAAGUUUAAAUUAGAUACACUAAUGUAAAUGGGUCUACAAAGUUGUAUGCGUGCCAAUUGAUACGAGCAAUGUCAACGGGUCUGCUCGAUGAUUUUGUGUCUGUGUGACGUGUGCGUAUGACACGUGUGAAUAAUCCAUUACAUUUCGACUUUGCCGAUUUCGAGUCUAUCGAACUCCACCCCUUAAGGCAAAGUCUAAGGCAAGGGCAAGCUAGGGCAAGCAAGGGCUGACACUAUUCACGUGAAUAGUGUCAGCCUUGCCAUUUGUGGUUCCACCCACAAGGGCAAAGUCUAGGGCAAUUACUAUUCAUUGUACUUUAUUUCCUAUUUUUUUAUACUUUAAAUCAUUAAUUUUGAUAAUCUUUUGUAAUUAAAUUUUCGGAUAAGAUUUUCGGAUGUGAAUCUCGGUUGCCACGUGUCUUAUUCCAGAUAAAAUUUUCGGAUAUUCAUUAAUAAAAAUUAUAAUCUCAGAUUUUCGAUAAAAUUUUCACCCUCUAAAAUUGUGCCACGUGUCCCAUGUCAGAUAAGAUUUUCAGAUAUUUUUAAAAAAUUAUAAUCUCAUAUUUCAGAUAAGAUUUUUACCCUAUAAAAUUGUGCCACGUGUCCCAUGUCUGAUAAGAUUUUCAGAUAUUUUUUUACAAAUAGUGAUCUCAGAUUUCAGAUAAGAUUUUCACCCUCUAAAAUUGUGCCACGUGUCAUCUCUAUCUUCUGAAUCCCUCUAUAUAACUACACCAUCAACACCACUCCUCUCACACCAUCUCUGAUAUAUUCCUUCAUUUCUCAGAUUUUACAAUUUCCCAUUAUACUCUCAAUGUCAAACUUCAGGAGGGUGUUGGAGAGGCAACAGAAAGAAUGGGAAGAAAUCCAGCGUAGACGUGAGGAAGAAGAUCGGGACGCCGAUGAAGAAGAGGAGGAAAUGCUUGAAGUAGCUGCGGUGUGUAUGAUGAAUCAAUCAAGCCAACACCAUCGUCGUCGUGCCCCGAAUGUGGACAGACGCAGAGAGUCUCGGGGUAAGAAUCUCUUGGAGGAUUACUUUAUCCCAAAUUCGUUAUAUCAUGCUCAUAAGUUUCGAGAGAGAUAUAGAAUGCAGCCACAUUUGUUCCAAAAAAUCAUGCAUGAUAUUUGUAAUUACGACACAUACUUCAUUCAAAAGCAUGAUGCUGUUGGAGUUUUGGGUCUUAUCCCGGAGCAAAAACUUACAGCUGCUUUGCGGAUGCUUGCUUAUGGGGCAUCUGCAGAGCAGGUGGAUGAAAUUGCAAGGAUGGGAAAAUCUACUAUCCUAGAGUGCUUGGUGAGAUUCUGUGAUGCAGUGGAAAAUUUGUACACGAGGGAGUACCUUCGCAAACCCACUCCGAGGGACCUGCAAAGGCUUCUACAAAAAGGCGAGGCUCGAGGUUUCCUAGGAAUGAUCGGAAGCAUCGAUUGCAUGCAUUGGCAGUGGAAGAAUUGUCCUACUGCGUGGCAAGGAGACUAUGGGAAUCGGAAGGGCCAAAAAAGUAUCAUUUUGGAGGCCAUAGCUUCAUUCGACACUUGGGUUUGGCAUGCCUUUUUCGGGGUUGCCGGAUCUCAGAAUGACCUCAAUGUCCUUGGUCAAUCCCCGGUGUUCGACGAGGUAUUGCGAGGUCAUUGCCCUCAGGUCACAUACCAAAUCAACAAUACCGUAUACUCUGGUGCGUACUACCUUGCCGAUGGAAUUUAUCCUAGGUGGACGACAUUCGUGAAAACAAUUCCGAAUCCCCAAUCCGAGAAGGAAAGAAGCUUUGCUUCAUUUCAAGAAGGUUACAGGAAAGACGUGGAAAGGUGUUUCGGUAUCUUGCAAGCUCGUUGGGCAAUUAUCAGGGGUGCUGCUCGGAUGCUAGACGAGGAGGUGCUGAGGAGUAUUAUGAUGACUUGCAUCAUCCUCCACAACAUGAUUGUGGAGGAUGAGUAUGACUACGAUGCUCCAGAGGUGUUUGAACCCGAUCCUAUGAACACGGCGUUGACAAGAAUAUAUGAAAGGCCGAUGGGACCAAAUGGACUACCAAUGGAGCCCGAACCAUUACUUCAGGAUGGUCGAUUCAACAACCCCAUGAUUGAUCGUUAUCAAGAAAUGCAAUCUUCAUAUGUUCACGAAAGACGUCAAGUUGACUUGAUCGAGCACUUGUGGCAGAUGAAAGGCAAUCACAAUGGAUGAAGGCUACAUUCGUGAUUUGUUUGGAAUUAUGCUUUGUUUUUAAUUAUGCUUUGUUUUUGUGUGUGGUUCUUUGUUUGGAAUUAUUAUGAUUUUGUGUGUGGUUUGUUUUGUGUGUUGUUUGCAAUAAAUGAAGGUUUGUUUUUAAUUAAUCUUUGUGAGGAAUGCUCAAAUGUUUGUAAUAAAUAGUCCAAUUAUAGAAUGCUUUUUUGAUUGAAUAAAAAAGAAACAAUACAACAAAUUAAAGGAUAAUACAACAAUUUUAAAAAAAAAACAACAAUUAUAAAAAAAUACAACAAUACAAUUUAAUGGUUUUUAUCAUUUAGCCAAUCCGUAUUGCUAGGUCCGUCGUCAUGGAAAAGUUUUCUUCUCAUCACAUCCCUUCGUUUAUGCUUCCAAUAAGCCUUUGUUUCAGGAGACAUAUGGCUCGUAUCCAUGGCCAUGAUUUUCAUCUCUCUCUCAUCGUCGUCUUUUUCUUUUGCAUGUUGCUUUUCAAUUGCAAAGGCUUCCAAUCGUGCCUUGUCCGCUUCAUCUCUCCUCAAGUCUCUCUCCAAUCUUAGAGAGUUGUUCUUAGCUAUUUGCUCGAAUAUUUGAACACAAUCAAUGUUCGAAGUGGCCCCUCUCUUGGCCUUUGCCGCCUUUCUCCCAAUAGGUCUCGGCGGAUGUGGGAGUGGUGACUCCGUUUCCAUUGGGGAGUCCAAUGGCGAUUCGGUUGAUGGCGAUUCGUGGAGCGGCGUCUCAUGCAACACAACCGGGGGUGCGGUAGGAAUAAUUUUGAAUCUGGAACAAUCCUUGACAAUUUCCCAACAUUGGAAAUGCACAAAACUUUUUUUCCCUUGCCCCGUGGCACCGAACCACAUUUGUGCUUGUAUGAUCUAUUCAAAAUAAAUAAUUGGAAGUGCAUUAAAAAAAUAUACAAUGCAAGAAAUUAUAAACUAUUUUGAAAUGCAAGAAUAAAAUUGAUUAUGUAAAUAAAUAUAGACAAAUUGAAAAUGCAAAAACAAAAAUUGAUUAUGUAAAGAAAUAGAAUAUGCAAUAAAAAAAAGUUACAUUAAAUUGAUUAAAAUGGCAAUUAAAAAUAUUUUACCUCAUCGGAAAGAUUCGCACCGCUCUGAAUGUUGUCCUUUGCUUUUGUCAAGGCAUUUCUCCAUUUCCCUAACUCUUUGUUUAGAAUUUUCCAUCUACUAGACAAAGCCAUUUCGGUCCGAAUGGAACCCGAUCUUUGACAAAAUUCUCCAUGAAUUUUGCUCCACAUAUGAUGGAACUUCAUCUCAUUGCCCGUGAUAGGGUCAUGACUAACGUUCACCCACGACUCGCACAAUGCAAUAUCUUCUAGGGUUGACCACGAGCCUCCGAUUUCAACAGAAGAUGACAUUUGUUUAUUUUCUACAAAUGGAAAGUUGUACAAAAAUGUGAGUGGAUAGUAAAAAAUAUUGGAAGGAGAAGAGUUUGUAUGGAAUUGGUGUGGAAAGUGGAAAAUUAUGAGUAGAGAGUAAAAAAUAUUGGAAGGAGAAGAGUUUGUAUGGAAUUGGUGUGGAAAGUGGAAAAUAUGAGUAGAGAGUAAAAAAUAUUGGAAGGAGAAGAGUUUGUAUGGAAUUGUGUGGAAAGUGAAAAAUAUGAGUAGAGAGUAAAAAAUAUUGGAAGGAGAAGAGUUUGUAUGGAAUUGGUGUGGAAAGUGGAAAAUAUGAGUAGAGAGUAAAAAAUAUUGGAAGGAGAAGAGUUUGUAUGGAAUUGUGUGGAAAGUGAAAAAUAUGAGUAGAGAGUAAAAAAUAUUGGAAGGAGAUGAGUUUGUAUGGAGAUUUGGUGUGGAAAAUGAAUUAUGUGAGUGGAGAGUAGAAAAUGUUGUAUGGAGAAGAAAUUGUAUGAAGAUUUGGUGUUGAAAGUAGAUAAAAUGGUUAGGUAUUUAUAGGGAAAAAAUACAUAAAUUUUUGGUAUUUUUUUAAAAAAAAUUUCAGAAUUUUUUCGGAUUUUUUAGGAUUUUUUUUAAAUUUUUUUGGCCAAAAAAAUGAGAACCGUAGGAUUUCUGAAAAAAAUCCAAUCGGAGCCACCCGGUGCCGACACGUGGCAGGUAACCGUUGGUGGUGACGCCAUCGCUGACGUCAUGAUGACGUCAGCACACUUCAGUCAAAUUUUUUUUACCGUUGGCGCGUGUAUUACACGGGCCAACGGUAAAAAAAUUUGAAUUUACUGCGCUGACGUCAUCAUGACGUCAGCGCUGACGUCACCUUAUCUCAGGCUCAAACCCAGUCCAUUUUUGCCCUUGGGCCUGCCCGGGUUCGUGGGGCCCGCCUGUUGCCCGGGCUGAUUUGGCUGCGCUGGAGGUCGACUUGGGCUGCUUGGGGCCUGUUGCCCGGGCCAGCCCGCUGCGCUGGAGUUGGCCUUACAGACACGAUUGCCUAUUGUGAAAAUCCAUCUAUGCAUUUUUUUGGUUUUCUUAAUCUUUCGGGAUUGGAAAUUAAGACCUCUUCCAACUUGACUUGGGAAGGAAAUGUUACACCCGCCCUAAUUUAAACAGACGACAACAACCACCACCAAAAAAAAAAAAUAACACCCUGCAAGUUGCAUGGAUUGAUUGAAAGAUCAAAAAAGUUCAACAACAUUUAUUAAACAAGCUUCGCCACAAACCUUGUACAAGUAGAACAAAUAUAAGGUUGUAAAUGGAGAAGAGCAUUUGCUUGCAUUUGCAUUUACAGUAGAUGAUGAUUCUACCGUACAGGCUAGGCUAGGCUAAAGAAAGAAAGAAAGCUUCAGUUCAGAAUUGAGAGAGAGAGAGGCAUGGAGGAGAGCGUCGAGUCUGAUCAAGUCAUUCUCGGGAAACUAGAACCACCUGCUUUCCUACAUUGCGCCCCGCAAAGAGCCCAAUCAGAGAUGCUGGAGCGCUCUCAAGCCCUUCAACUACAUCUUCCACGUAUGUUAUCUUCCCUUCUUUUAUGGCAGGCAAAACCAUUUCAAGAAACUUCCCGUAAAGAUGAUAGUAAUUAAAAACCAGGAAACCUUCCAUGCGGACCUGUUUAAUGACCAGAUACAUUAAAUUAUGUACCCCUUCUGGCUGCUCCAGGUUGUACUGUGAGAUCAUCCCACAAACUGCAAUCCGACCGUGGACCCUCAUGUUCGGCAGCACUGCAUCAAGCAUCUUUCCCCCAACAUUUUCAAAGUAUAUAUCGAUGCCCUCAGGAAAGA
rnacentral:lncRNA from 1 species